GAUGAACGCUGGCGGCGUGCCUAAUACAUGCAAGUCGAGCGAACAGACGAGGAGCUUGCUCCUCUGACGUUAGCGGCGGACGGGUGAGUAACACGUGUAUAACCUACCUAUAAGACUGGGAUAACUUCGGGAAACCGGAGCUAAUACCGGAUAAUAUAUUGAACCGCAUGGUUCAAUAGUGAAAGACGGUUUUGCUGUCACUUAUAGAUGGAUCCGCGCCGCAUUAGCUAGUUGGUAAGGUAACGGCUUACCAAGGCAACGAUGCGUAGACGACCUGAGAGGGUGAUCGGCCACACUGGAACUGAGACACGGUCCAGACUACUACGGGAGGCAGCAGUAGGGAAUCUUCCGCAAUGGGCGAAAGCCUGACGGAGCAACGCCGCGUGAGUGAUGAAGGUCUUCGGAUCGUAAAACUCUGUUAUUAGGGAAGAACAAAUGUGUAAGUAACUAUGCACGUCUUGACGGUACCUAAUCAGAAAGCCACGGCUAACUACGUG
rnacentral:rRNA from 1 species